AAUUUGCAUUUAACAACACACACACAUACACCUUUAGUCAUCGAUUCCUAGCCUCGUCGUUUCAAAGGGAGAUUUGCACUGCCGAUCUGUACAAGUUAUUACUGUUACAGGGAACAAAAAUCACACUAGAUUCGUGUCAUGACGAUGUCGGGCUCGGUUUAUAUUUUUCUUUUAUCAUCAUACUUCCUGUGCAAAUAUGUAAGUGUAACACCGUUGUCUGUGGUAAGCACUACUACUAAAGCUCCAGAUGGAAACAGAACGAAGCUCAUUGAGGCCAUAGUCGCCAUUUUGAGCAUUGGGCAACCAGAAAGUAAAAUCGCUGAUAUACGUAUAGAUGUCGACAAGAAGGUCAGGGAGAACAACCUGACGGAUCUUUCACAAGUAUUUACGAAGGCCGAAUACGAUCGCUUCUGCUCAUUCAACCCAGGAGGAUGUACAGGCACACAGUAUAGUCAUUGGGAUGGACGGAAAUAAACAACACUGUUUGUUUUACUUUUGACUGAUUUGUAAAAUAAAUUGGAGAAAAUUU
rnacentral:misc_RNA from 1 species